rnacentral:rRNA from 14 species
AACAUCUAAGUACCCGGAGGAAAAGAAAUCAACCGAGAUUUUCCUAGUAGCGGCGAGCGAACGGGAAACAGCCUGCAAGUGAUAUUUAACGUUUUAGUGGAACAGUCUGGAAAGUCUGGCCAUAGACGGUGAUAGCCCCGUACACGAAAACUAUCCAAGUGUUACUCGAGUAGAACGGAACACGUGAAAUUCUGUUUGAAGAUGGGGGGACCAUCCUCCAAGGCUAAAUACUACCUGCCGACCGAUAGUGAACCAGUACCGUGAGGGAAAGGCGAAAAGAACCCCGGAGAGGGGAGUGAAAUAGAACCUGAAACCGUAUACCUACCAGCGGUCGGAGCCCUAUUCAUGGGGUGACGGCGUGCCUUUUGCAUAAUGACCCGGCGAGUUGGCGUAGGCGGCAAGGUUAAGGAUUAGAAGUCCGAAGCCGAAGCGAAAGCGAGUGCGAAAUGUGCGAUACCAGUCGAGUGCGCCAGACCCGAAAUCAGGUGAUCUAACCAUGGGCAGGUUGAAGCGGAUGUAACAGUUCGUGGAGGACCGAACGGGUAAAUGUUGAAAAAUUUUCCGAUGACCUGUGGUUAGGGGUAAAAGAUCAAUCAAACCUGAAGAUAGCUGGUUCUCCCCGAAAUAGCUUUAGGGCUAGCCUCAGGUGUUUCGCAACGGGGGUAGAGCUACUGUUCAGGCUAGGGGGGUGCAUAACCUACCCUACCCAGACAAACUCCGAAUACCGUUGUUGAUAGCCUGGGAGUCAGACUACGAGGGAUAAGCUUCGUGGUCGAGAGGGAAACAGCCCAGAUUGGCAGUUAAG